UCUAGCGGCGCGGCUGAGGGUUGAUUGCUUGCGGCGGCUUCCGCGGGCGGGUGCGCGAACGGACGGCUGACGGCUCGGGGCGGUGGUAGCGGCACAGCGGCCAAUGAGGGGAUCCGGAGGGGGCGGGGCGUCGGCUGCGGUUUUGUUCCGCGGUGGCUGAGGCGCACGGUCCCCAUGCGCGGAGCGCGGCCUGCGCGGCCGGCGCCUUGCCCCAGCUACGGAGCCCGGUGCUCACCCGUCGCGCGGACAUUGCUCUGUGCCGUCGUUCGCCUGCCCAUCGCUAAGAGCUCCAUCCACCGGAACGCCGUGUCCUUGCGCUGUAAGCCCGGAAUCUCCGUACGUCGGCCGGCGCCGCGCAGCCGCACGUCGAGAGCCGGGUGCAUCGCCACAGCGCGCGGAACACCCUCUAGGAAGCAGGAAGUUUGACGAGAUAUGAUGGUCCCUUAAGAGAAUCCCAAGAGCAGAUCCUCCCCGACGUCCUGUGGAAGGUGACUUGGAAGUGUAUUCCGAAGCCACUUUUCUGCGUAGACUGAAGGAGCUGGGGACCGAACCCAGGGCCUUGCGUUCGCCAGUGACAAAGCCCUGAAGAGUCUGCAAAUGGGUCAGCAUCUUUAAGUCAGAGCUAUAACCCUGAGCUUUGGCUCAGACCUGAUGGCUUGAGCCUGCUGAUGUCCAGGCUUCUGGAAAUCCAGUGCCCAUAGAUGUGGACUAAGGAAGAGCCCCGACCAUGGUCACUCUCAUCACGGAGAAGCUGCAGAACCAGAGUUUGGAUGACCUUACCCGAAGGGCCUGUGAGGCUGUCC
rnacentral:lncRNA from 1 species